GACAGGAGGAUGCAAGCGUUAUCCGGAAUGAUUGGGCGUAAAGCGUCUGUAGGUGGCUUUUAAGUCCGCCGUCAAAUCCAGGCUCAACCCUGGACAGGCGGUGGAAACUACCAAGCUGGAGUACGGUAGGGCAGAGGGAUUUCCGGUGGAGCGGUGAAAGUGCGUAGAGAUCGGAAAGAACACCAACGGCGAAAGCACUUUGCUGGGCCGAAACUGACACUGAUAGACGAAAGCUAGGGGAGCAAAUGGG
rnacentral:rRNA from 1 species